UACGUAGGGCGCAAGCGUUAUCCGGAAUUAUUGGGCGUAAAGAGCUCGUAGGCGGUUUGUCGCGUCUGCCGUGAAAGUCCGGGGCUCAACUCCGGAUCUGCGGUGGGUACGGGCAGACUAGAGUGUGGUAGGGGAGACUGGAAUUCCUGGUGUAGCGGUGAAAUGCGCAGAUAUCAGGAGGAACACCGGUGGCGAAGGCGGGUCUCUGGGCCAUAACUGACGCUGAGGAGCGAAAGCGUGGGGAGCGAACAGG
rnacentral:rRNA from 1 species